AUGGGGCGUGGCGCUCCCCUCCUGGUGCGACGCACGACGGAAGGAGGAGGGGUUCGUCCCAAGACGGGAGCUGAGGCCGACGGCGCCCUCUACACAAGCCUCACCAGCGGUGCGGCGGGAGAGCUCCGACCCGUCCAUAGGUGCGCCGAUGCAGGGGUCACCGCCAUCUUCGUCAGGCCACAAGAGUACUCUAGUAACAACCACUGGACGGCAGGUGAAUUCUUUGAAGAUGGUAGAGAACUGGAUCGUGAAGCAACCGCGGAAGAAAUGAAGAUGUUGCAAUACAAUGCUCAAGCUUGCGAUAUUCUCUUCAAUGGAUUGUGUCUCGAAGAAUUCAACAAAAUCAGCCGUCUUGAGAAUGCAAAGGAAAUUUGGGAUACUUUGGUUGAUAUGCACGGAGGUACCGAGUCCGUCAAGGAAUCCAAGUUGGAUGUGCUUCAAAGUUAA
rnacentral:rRNA from 1 species